UGGACUUGGAAGUUGAAUGAGGAGAAAAUCUGCGAUUUGGACCUGUCACUUGAUUAAACUGCCUGAUUUAGCUCUAGGAGCCGAUAUUAAAUUGUACUGUCGCAGUAUCUUCGAGACGAGUACUCCCGGUAGUUUAGAAUACAUUUACGCUCGUGCUGGUAUGCCGAGUGGAUUUUUACAGGGUCGUUCAGGUUGUUCCGGACUGUUGGAUGCCGUCAGAGUUGACGGUGGACCCGUAUCGCCUUUUUGGCGUCAGAUUGUGCCGAGUGCACGUUACCUGUUUGUUGUUAGACCAGUUUGAGUCGAUUACUUGACUUUGGCUAGUUGGAGCCUGAUUGAGCUCGACAGAGAUACGCUGCAUACUCGGUUGGGUAGCGCCCACGAGUGCCACUCCGGAGGCGGGCUUUGUGCUUUCGCAUUGGUGUCGCUCAUGCCAGUUGGACUUGCUCUCCACGGACCAGUUAGUGUGGAUAGAGCCCGAUAGUCCCAACGGGGCAGGGACGGGUGUAUUCACAGUCCCAGGGACGGGUAUGUUUACAGUCCCGAUUGGAUUUGGUCAGAUUUGACAUGUCCUACAGUUGGUUAGUGGAGAGCAUGAUAGUGUAGUGACUUAUAGCGGUUGAGUUAUUUCCUGCAUUUUUCCUACUAUCCUGGCUCCCUUCUGUAGACUUAGUGGGUGGACCGAUGUUGUUUUGGGCGGUACCCACUGAGGACUACUUGUUUUUACAGUAGUUCUCACGCCCAGUUGUUACCCCUGUUUUGCAGAGCCACAGGUUUCGGCUGCUGCGCCUUCCGCGGAUCAGGAUCGAGGCAAGGGCGUCGCGAGUUAGAGCCCUACCCGCUGAGCAGAGCUAGAGGCACCCUACUGCAGGUAGUUGUUUUACUUCGAGCUUAUGUACAUAGUACUUAACUCGCCAGUGCGAGUAACGCUGUAUUUUGGAUUUGGACUAUGUAUAUGAAACAAAGUUUGUUUAGCUUCUGUUUUCUCUAGCAGCUCUCUACUACUGUUCGUAGUAGUGUUUGAUUUACAGGUACAGCUGUCGCUUCGUAUACAGGGAAAAUUUCUUUGUAUACGGCGGAUUUGUCGGCGUGCCCGGGGAACGAGACAUCCGGGGCGUGACAGAUUAAGUUGGUGUCAGAGCUUUGCUAUAGGUCGUUGGGACCUAAGAAACCUAAGUUUGGCAGACCUUAGGAAAACAAGACGCGAGAAGCGUAAUUUAAUUGCGAAAGUCAAUGAUUAUUUGUUCUAACUCCUCCUAAAGUGGAGUGAGUGACUGAAGGAGUUCCC
rnacentral:lncRNA from 1 species